rnacentral:tRNA from 1 species
GGUGCCGUGGUCAAGGACGAGCUCACCGUCGCUCGUGACGAGGGAGAGCGGGCGUGGGGUCAGCACGGUGGAACCUAGCCCUUCACGGCGCCG